rnacentral:rRNA from 1 species
AGUGAACGCUGGCGGUAGGCCUAACACAUGCAAGUCGAACGGCAGCACAGUAAGAGCUUGCUCUUACGGGUGGCGAGUGGCGGACGGGUGAGGAAUACAUCGGAAUCUACUUUUUCGUGGGGGAUAACGUAGGGAAACUUACGCUAAUACCGCAUACGACCUACGGGUGAAAGCAGGGGAUCUUCGGACCUUGCGCGAUUGAAUGAGCCGAUGUCGGAUUAGCUAGUUGGCGGGGUAAAGGCCCACCAAGGCGACGAUCCGUAGCUGGUCUGAGAGGAUGGUCAGCCACACUGGAACUGAGACACGGUCCAGACUCCUACGGGAGGCAGCAGUGGGGAAUAUUGGACAAUGGGCGCAAGCCUGAUCCAGCCAUACCGCGUGGGUGAAGAAGGCCUUCGGGUUGGAAAGCCCUUUUGUUGGGAAAGAAAAGCAGCAGGUUAAUACCCCGCUGUUCUGACGGUACCCAAAGAAUAAGCACCGGCUAACUUCGUG